rnacentral:RNase_P_RNA from 1 species
UGAGUAGCACAAAUGGUCGCACCGAUAUGGUGAGGAAAGUCCGGGCUUCACAGGGCAGGGUGCCGGAUAACGUCCGGUGGAGGCGACUCCAAGGCUAGUGCAGCAGAAAUAUACCGCCGAUGUAUCAUCGGUAAGGAUGGAAAGGUGGCUUAAGAGACCACCGCCCUUCUGGUAACAGGAGGGGCAGAUGUAAACCCCACCCGAAGCAAAACCGAACGUAAAGCGAUACGGCUGCCCGCCGUGCUUUAGGGUUGGUUGCGGAGAAUAGGCGCAAGCUUAUCCUCGAGCCGUAUGGCAACAUGCGGUCAAGAUAGAUGACCAUUCACGACAUAACCCGGCUUAUCGUGCUGCUCAUACA